GGUCAGUGAUGAAUAGUAAAAGGUCUGAUUCGCUCAGAGCUUUGUCUCCAUUGCUGUUAUAACUCCCAGCAGUUUCUCUUCCAUCGUGCUCUAGAAAUGCCACGAAUGGGAGCUCAUCUGCUGAUAAGUAGUGAUGGAUUCAGUUUGUGCUGCUCUGGAGUAUGGAGUAGACACAACUGGAAAAGCUGUCCAACAUAAACUAAUAAAGGAGUUUGAAGUGAUGGAGUCACGUCUGGGUACAUGAUCUCAAGUCUUCCAGCUGAGACC
rnacentral:snoRNA from 1 species